UCCAGUCCGUAACAUCUGUACUGUUGAUCUUGGUGCAAUGGAGGAAACUGAAAUGGUCACCUUAAAAUACAUACAAGCCAGUGCACUUGGAUGUAUCAAGUGUUUGAUAAAGGAACAAAAUGUGACUACUUGAAGAAAAGCCAGUAAACCACUUUGUGUAUUACAGUGCCUGUGUGAUCAGCAGAACAAUGAUAUGACAAUACUGCUACUUUUGGGCUACUCAAAUUCCCAAUGCAUUUAAUUUCAAGACAGUAGAGUGAAUGGGUGAGUGACUGAUAUUGUCUGUCGCGCAAAUCAUUCACAUAUUAAAUUGACUUAUGACUUAUGAUCUACUUUUUAGCCUCUCUUCCCCAAAAGGCUAAAGACACGCACUACGUUGAGUCAUUCAACAAUGCGCUUUUGAUCUACCACGACAAGCGAGUCGCGUUUGGAAAAGAAGCCUACCUAAUGAGGAUCAACCUCGCUGACCUGGAUUGGGUAAGUUGCAGUGUUCGGUACUUGUUGCUUUAGAUAUGUUACUUUUUUCAUAACUAUCAUAGUUUUAUAUGUCGAAAAUUAAGUUUAUUUCUACAUCGAUGCAAUUAUGAGGACCAACAUUGUCGGUACCAAUGUGUGGCUAUCUAAAACUAAAACGCUAUUAAACUAGGCAGCCAUAUGCGAACUUCACAUUUCAGUGCAUGUAAUGACAUUGUCUUCUUACUUGACAUACCAUAGAACGAGAACGUGACUACAUCUCCGAGUGGAGGUGUGAAGAUGCCGCUGCUCCACGACGUCGGAAGCCAAAGAAGCAGCUCGUAGAGAAGAAGUUCAUUUUCCGGAAGAAGGUCUGGAAUGAGUAUAUGAGGAGAGUUUACCUGCCAAACUUGGUAGAUGACAGAGUCCAGGACCAGGCAACCUGGACCAGUCACCUGCAGACGACCAGGACCCCUGGUACUCGCAGCAAGACAGUUUAGCGUGGAGUGACUGUUUUUUUGUUGUUGUUGACUAUAAUGGCCGAGAAGGUGGGCAUAAAUUCAUUACUUGACCAUGGUUUUCCACAUCAACGAAAAGUUCCUCUCGAACUGGUACGAGGGCCGCGAGUGGGUCAAACUGUGCACGUAACGGCGCAAGGUGUUCUGUGCCAAUUGUUGGUACGCUAUACAAGGUAAAGCUUCUCACAUUUUCUAGUCAUCAAGAAGCUGCCUUCGUGACAACCGGGUUCGACAACUACAAAAAGGCAAUUGACAAGUUUGACAUUCACACAGCGUCAGACGCACAAACAGAAGCCGCCAUGAAGUGCUCUGCAAUUACCGGCGAAUCCAUCUCUAGUCAGCUCAACUCGCAGAUUGCAGGACAACAACAACUCCAUAGAAAUGGCUUGCUACGCGAGAAGCGCAAACAACCACUGUCUUCGGAUUAGCGCACUUCUCCCACACUCUCUCCUCGAUUUUCUGCCAUACUGUCAGUGUAUAUGCCAAAGAAGAAAUGUAAGAUUUGUUUUACUUGUCUACAUUUCUGAACCAAUAAUCCGGGACAGUGCCAAAGUUUGAGGGCUGUUUUUAAAUUCUUUUUGUGUGUUUCGUCACUUCCCACAUGGUAACAAUUUUGAUCAUAUCAUCGCCACGUUACGACCAAGAAAGUUUUCCGCCAGCCGCGGAGAAAGUUUUAUAUAAUCGUUGUCUAUACCGUUUGCAAAUAAAAAAAAUAUUGCAAUAGUAUUUGCCGACAAUUUUACCGUGUAUAGUUUCGAACGUUACGAGGUACUGAAUAUGUGCUGCAACUAUUGAUGUCACGUGCGGAUCGUCACGUGCUCGAUAAAGUUUGUUUCUCGAUCUUCAUAAAUGACGAUAAUGUUACAAAAAAAAACUCACCAGUACAAGUUUUCUAAUAAUGUUUUUUUGAUUUUCUUCCCUAAGUCAUGCCCGCGUACAGGACGCCAACUGCUCAGGAGACGGCCCUCGAGACGCAGGCCAUCGUCCAGCUCCGCAGUAUCGGAAACGGCUUGGCUAUCAGCGGUUGAGCUCCAUGGUCGUGAUCGCAUUCAGACAGUACCGGUAUGUGGCCACAAACAUGGAGAGGCGGAACCGUGUGUACCGUGCGCUCAGUGGCCUCUUGACCUACGGGCUUCGACGCGCUGCUCCGGGCCACUAUUACCUGUACAGCAGUGAGAUCCUCAACAUUGUCCGCGACUGUUACCCGUCUGGCGACGAUGUUGACUGGAUGCUUACCAACAGCAACAACCGUCCUACCGUGAACGUGUCUGACCUGCUUGACGACAAGCCUUGAAGGUUUCACCCACAGGCAACACCUCCACCAUCUGAUGUCCAUUGUUUUUGGAUUUUCUUCGCUUAGAAGUAUUAGUUUUUCUUAGGUAGAUAAAGGCUUUAGAUAUUGCUAUAGUGACAUGUGCAUAAAAAACUAUUACUGAAGUAACGGAAUAUAAUAUUGGAAGCGGUCAGACAUUUCAGAUAGCAUCCUCUAUCCUUCUCAGUGGGAGCUAUCCGAAUCAUCUGACCGUUUCCAAAAUCCUAUCCUGUUACUUGAAUAACAGCUAUUUGGCGUAUGUUUUCGUUUGAUUAGGCUAGAUUAGAUUAUAUAAACACUUUCCCUGAUUUUUCCCAUCAUUUUAUUUCAUACCCCUGCCUAUCCUUACUCCACUUUGUACUUUGUACAGUCUUCAGCAGAUUAUUUUUAUAAAGUCUUUGUACAGUAUUCAGCAGAUUAUUUUUAUAAAGUCUUUGUACAAUCUUCAACAUACUAUUUUUAUUAAGACCACAUAAUAUAUCCAUAGUGUGUACAGUGUUCUAAAUAGCAGGAAAUUGGAAAUAAACAUGAGCACUAUU